AGAGUUAGCUUUGGGAUGUCGUUCAUUGCAGGAUGUGGUGACUUUUGAAUUAGCUUGGAUUAGACGCUAGAGAAGUAUUUUUGUGACUUCCAGAUGUUCUGUUAUCUAUAAUUCCCAGCUGUGUUCUGAGAGGUUAAAUGAGCUGGAAAGUUUCUGUCCAAGCUCUGUUAUCCUCAUCAAACUCAGGGAAAUGUAAUUAGUGCCUUUUUGAGCUCACAUCGCCUAGCAACUCCUUCCUAAAUAAACAAUAAAAAAUCGCCCUCAUCUUUUUUUGUUUUUUUUUAUGUAGCCACACCUCAUAUCUGCCAAGCACCUCCCCUUGAGUGGCUCUGGCCCUGCCCGGUCUCUGGGGCCCCCGCAAUGUGAAGACAGAGUGAGGAAUGUGUGAAGCAUCCAAAGAAACAUGAACUGCUAUUUUCCCACAAGUAUGAAAAAACAGAGGCCAUGGCUGUGGAAUCUUUCUGACGCAAUCAGCUGGUGGGAUGGCUGCUGCACGGAGGGGAUUUGGACACAGGGGCUCAGGUCAGGCUGUUGUUAAAGCUGUAGUCUUAGGACUUAAAGACCAGAUCUGCUGACCUGGCUAAAACCUGCAGCAGGAGAUAGCAAGAGCUGCCGGAUGGCCCCAUUUGGGAGCACUCCAUCGCUCCUGCUAUUUCAUUUUUAACAGGCAUCUGUGGGGCAGCUUAUUAAUUGUUUGUUGGCCGAAGCAUCAUUAAAAAAACAGACAGCAGGGCAGCUUUUACAGAGAUGUGAGAGGAAGCAGGGAGCUGGGACAGGAGAGAGGAUCACUGAAGCGGCCCUCAGAGGCCCCUCCUCGAGAACCAGAUGAUUACCGCGUACGGUUUCCUCUGUAAUUCUUCAUACAUUAAGAAACAGGGUUGAAAGGAAUUCCCCAACACAAAAACAGAGCAAACUUCAAUAAGCCGUUCUUUCUUUCGUUCUUUUCCUGAUCUAAUUAUCGCUACCCCCAUAAUCGCUGUUAUAUUCAUCAUAGUGCUCAGUAUUUAUAGGGUCUGUUUUCAUCAUAGUAAUAAUGUCACUCUGGAAUUCCCAUGCAGAGAGAGGAGAGAGACAUACAUCACUCAGUAUAUAGAGGAAGCAGCUGGAGAUGGGGAGGGCUGCUGCAUGAAUCCAAGAAUCCUUGAUGUUAGGAGACCAGAACAACAGGACGCUUCACUAAACUUCCCCUUCUUGUUUUGUGUGGGCUUGUACCUGCUUCUGGACUUUGGAGACCCCGGAGGUCGACCCCUGUACCCUGAACCUUUUACAGAGCUUGGACAGACAGAGUCCUUGAACUGAGAUGGACCGAUUAGGUUCAUUAUAUUUCUGUCACAUAUGGUUUUUGACAAAAUCUGAAAACCUUUCUUUUUUCUGUCUUUCUUUCUUUAGUUAUUUACUUCUCUUUCUUUUUAUUUCUUUCUCUCUCUUUUUCUUUCUUUCUUGUCUUUUCUUUUCUUUCUGCCUUUCGUUCUGUCUUUCUUUCUAUCUUUCUUUCUUCCUUUUCUUUCUUUCGGUCUUUCUUUCUUUCCUUAGUCAUUUAUUUCUCUUUCUUUUUCUUUCUUUCUCUCUCUCUUUUUCUUUCUUUCUUGGCUUUCCUUUUCUUUUCUUUCUGCCUUUCUUUCUUUCCUUAGUUAUUUAUUUCUCUUUCUUUCUUUUUAAUUCUUUCUCUCUCUUUUUCUUUCUUUCUUGUCUUUCUUUUCUUCCUUUCUUUCUGCCUUUCUUUCUGUCUUUCUUUCUUUUCUUCCUUUCUUUCUGUCUUUAUUUUCUAUCUAUCUAUCUAUCUAUCUAUCUAUCUAUCUAUCUAUCUAUCUAUCUAUCUAUCUAUCUAUCUAUCUACUUUCUUUCUUUCUUUCUCACCAUCCUCCACUCUCUCCCUCUCCCUUCAUCCUUCCAUUUUUCCUCUCUUCCUCUCUCAGCUCUCUUCAUUUCUAGAGGACUCCUCUGCCUCUUAUUCUCUGCCUCUCCCCCCGAUGUUGCUCCCAGUAUUUGGGUAUAUAUUUAACACCCACAUGUGAGGCCUGGUGAAAGUGCCUGGGGAAUGGAAAGGAAAACAAGCAUGCCCUCUCUCCCGGCCCUUUAGUGCUGGUCUGCUAUAAAUACCUCCGGGUGGCGCGCCAGUUCCAGCACCAGUGGCAUGGGAACCUCUCUCCCUCCUCUGGUCCACUGCUUGGCCACUCAAGUCCAGUCUGGGAAGGCUUAAGCAGGCAGGUUUUACUAAAGGGUGGGAGGCUAUAAUGUGUGCUGAGUGCAGGGAAAGAAAUAUGAAAGGCUUUCUAUGGCAGGGGUGGUCUUCCUGUGUGUUUUGUCUACUUCUCUGAGGAGCAUCCCUGUGUCUUCUCCUUUUCUCCGGCUCUGUCAUCUCCCUUUUCAAAAGACUUCAUGUAUACUGCAUUUAUGCUGUUUUGCUUUAUGAAGAUUGUAUGAAUAUGUGCUUUUCAAACUGUUAAAAAAGAGAGAUCCCCUUUUCUUCACUGCGGUGAAGCGUUUGUUAUGUUACUCCCCCAAAAAUUGAUUUAGACUUUUCAAAGGUUUGUACUUCACAGUGCUGUCUCCCUGUGUCGAUGCACGACAAGCUCAGCUCAUAUUUUCAGAGUUUGAGGUAAUAGUUUUAAACUGACAGACUAAACAUCUCCCUCCCCGGCUGUUCCACUUCUACAGAGUAAAGAGUUUUAUGUGCACAAACAGAAACACACACUGACCUAGUCUAAUAAUUAUUUAUUUUUGGUUUGUUGGGGUUCAGGUGGAAUUUUAAGACAUUUUUACGGGGAAACUUUCUUUAUUUUAAACUCUUGGUUAAUUGCCACCUUAUUGCUGUACAGUGGUAUGUAACAGUAUGAAAAUUCUACAUCACAGUUAUAGUGACCAAAAUAUUCUCAGUUUUCGGUAUAAUCGUGGUAUUUUUGAAAAUGUAUUUAAAGACAUUGAUUGUGGUAUUUUUGAUGCUUUUAACUAGUGCUAAACAUUACCUUGUUUUCAUCAUUUCAUCAUAUCUAGACAGGAUUACCGUCUUCAACUAAGCAUCCCCUCGACAUUCCUACAAAACCCCAAAUAUGCCCAUACUUCCGACUUGGUCCUCUUAGAGAGCUGAUGGAUUUCUUCAAGGUUGUCGUCUCCUCCUUCGGCCAUGAUUCCAUUUCAAACUUAACAGAAAGUUUAAAUGCGAAUUGUAGGCUACACAGUUCACCUGCGCGGCUACUUCAGGAGACUCAGAUGAAGAUGGGAUGAAUAACACAGGGUUACCCCUACAUGCAAUUGAUCCUGAUGCACCGCCAUAGCUAAAUAAGAGCAGCCACACCUUAAGAAUGAGUUUUUUUAUAUCAGUAGGGUAUACAUACGUGCAGUGCACUGCAGAGCGCGCGCACCUAGUAUUAGCAUUAGCCAGUUAUUGUUGAUGAUCUCACAGCUGAUUCAUUACCUCUACUCACACACACACCAGUUUUUUAAAUGAAAACAGUAAUAGUUAUCAACAUUUUUAUCAAGAUUUACCAUUACACCAGCUACCAUCCCUAAUGCCAGGUAGGGUGACCAUAUUCUGAAUCCCCAAAAAGAGGACACGGCUAGCCAGGGGCGGAGUCACGUAGUCGCGCAUAGUUAAUUUUGAGAGUUUUUUCGGGUCGGCUCAAAUGUUUUUUUACACGCUUCUGACUCAGUUCUGACAAACUCAUAGUUCCAUGCAAAACCCCGGACAUUUAAAGGAUUUUAUAAACUCCCCCGGACAAGGCCAGACAAGGCCCCCCCAAAAAGAAGACAUGUCCGGGUAAAAGAGGACAUAUGGUCACCCUACAGGUAGACAACACCUUUGUGCUUAAUAUCACAGUAUAUCCUGUAGAUUCAGUGAUUUCAGUCACUCGAUUAAAAAAAAAACAGGUUUUGUGCCUGUUCCAGUGUCAGCUCAAAGACGGUACUCUACUUCAAAGCUUUUGGUCAUUUAACACACCGAGUCUACAGAUUAAAUAUCUCUGUUGCUCUUUUUCUUCCCUCACACCUCUUACCAUUCUCCCUGUGUCUCUUUUCCUCUACCUCUCUUAAUACUCUCCUUUCCCCUCUCCCUCCCCUACAAGGCUCACUUGUUAUUUUUUCGUACAAGGUCCUGUAAUUAAGUUUGACAUAAGCACAGGGAUUAAAUAUGCGGUUGAGGAGGGAGAGAAAGGGGCUCUGUUACAAUCUCAAGGCCAGCUGUAAAAUGGAACCAGAUUGCGACACUUGGAGUUGGAAAGUUUGGGAAAGGUGCCGAGACUGGAGCUGUGUUCAACAGACGACAGGAUCUAAGUCUUUCUCCAGCCUCAGAGCGGCCAAAAGACUACUGAGAGUCCGGCCAAAACCCCUAAUAUUAAAAAUACUUAGGCAGAAGACUAACACUUGGUGCGGGCCAAUGAUCGUUUUCUUAUUCAGCUGAAAGGCUGCAAUCUCCUCCAGCUGCACAUUAACUAUUGUCUGUCCAACCAGAUGACUGAGGCCCCUGCCUUAGAGACUGCAAAGUUCCUACUUAUCAGCAUAUUUACAGUCUGUAUGUAUGAAAAGAAGGCUGACCGCAAAUCUUUACUUUGUUAUAAACAGUUAGAGUGAAAUCCAGCUGGAAACUUAGAGGGCGAAGAAACAAAGGUAACCAAAUCAACAAACAAAGAUAAGGAGUUAGACUAAUGGUCUUUUACUGGCUUUAAAUAUGGAAAAGUGAUCGCACAGUGCAGCAGGAAGAAAAUAUUCCACAUUCUAUCAUUCAAUCACUGACACCAAAUAUAGAAAUAUAGGCUAAGAUCAGCCCCCCAGUGCACAGAGCGUGUCGAUAGGAUUUUCUUCUGUUCUGAACUCUGAGAGGUCUCACAUGGAACUUUGCAUUCUUAAAUAACUCUGGCAAAAUGCUUUAAUCUUAAUGAGUCUGAACAGCAAAUCUCUCAUCUGCAGCAAAAAGGAUUAGGAACGCAGAAAAAAAAGAGAAAAAAAGAGGCUGCCGUUCCACUUUGAUGAAUUGUGUUUAGAAAAUCCCUGGGCAUGAAGUUCCCCCCAAAUGAACAAAGCGUUAGGCGAGAAACGGAUGCUUUUAAACAACACAACUUAUCGGAGAAAAACAGAACAUGAAUUUAAGUGAAAAUACAAAAGCAGAGCUGAUUCGACUCCUCUGCAAAAAUGAUAAAAGUGACUAACUCUUUUUCCUCAAUCCACUUAGCUGCCUUUGGAAUCAAACCUGGAGUAGCUUUGCACAAAUUACUUGCAUUGUGUUUUUCCGUGCCUCAUCAGUGGCGUGUUUAUUUAUUCGGCAUGAUGCAUUCCUCCUUUGUUAAGCAUAAAUAGAUGAAUUCAUAAUUUUUUUGCCCCCCUUGGUAGAAGCACUUGAAAUGGGCUGUGUAGUGAUGAAGAAGGGAGUUGAUGAACACAGACAGUUGAGUGCUACAAGGUGUUGCGUUCAAGACCACAAAAACUCUGCUUUUCCAGUCGAGUUUCCUGUGGUUUUUCUUCAUUGCUUCAAGGAGCACAACUUUUCCACCGAGUGUGAAAUUGCAGUUUGUUAAGUAUGCCAUUAUGCGGAGGUGUUUAUUUGUAUUUGAUUAAUACAUUAUUGAUAAUAUGUUAAUGUAAUCCAAAUCAAAGCAGUUCAGCGUUUACUUGAUUAAUUAUUACUCUGUGGUGUAAUUUCCCCAAACAGUCUCUGUGAGUGCGAGGGGUUAGAGCAGUAAGCCUCUGGCUAGUUCAGACUGCUCAAACUACAAAGAGCCUCUCUGCACUGGGACCUGCUCUUGGUUCCCCUUUUCCAACCCCCCACCCACCUCCCCACAUGCCUUCAGGCCUUUUAGAAAACUACUCUGGCUGAUUUUCACUGUAUUUAUUUUACCUUUCUUUCCAAAUCAGCGCUCCCCUUUGUUUCCAGUAAUGGACUUUGGACAGAGAUAUCACUAAUGCAGGCCAGACAUACGAUCCAUAUUAAUGUGAAAAAACCAGCAUGUGUAAAUAUCUCAGAGAAACUAACAAGCCUAUCACCUGGAUAUGUUCCUGCAAAGAAAUCCUUUUUCUUCCCUCUUCAGGAUCUUGUGUGCGCAGACUUGUGUGAUAAAUAUUAUCAUGCACUUGACCUAUAUUGAUCCCCUAGUAGGAUGUGUACCCACUCCAACACAUUGAGCCUAAACAUCUGGUCACCAGAGUGCUGCUUUGAAUGACAGAUAACAUCUGGGAAGUCUGCUGCUAUCACAGGAAACAAUGUUCUUAUCCCCCCCCCCACUCCCCACUCCCCGCCCCUCGAUCCCUCCUCGAUACCCCCCCACCCCCUGUCCCCCUUUUCCCCAUGUCCCGCUCAUAAGCACAUCCCUCUCAUUGAUUUCCCAUUAACCCCUUCCAGAUUGUGUGUAUCUGCCCACCCAGACACACAGACACCAAUGGAUUGAUUACCAGCAUAAUGGCAUCACUAUGGCUGCCCACUCUCAUCAGUCUGGCUGGUCCAGUCCAUGUCCAUGUCCACCUGGCUGCUCUGUGUUCCCUCAGAAUUUGCAUUUUCACUGUAUUUCUACUUCUCCUUCCUCUUACUUUCUACUACCUGUUUUCUUUUUCUCCCUUUCCCCUUAUUGUUUUUGUUUUUAUUGUUUUCCUCUACCC